AUACAGGAUUGACUUUUGGGAGAACAGAUCAACAGUCCUCUGAAUUUAGUAUCUUGCCCACAAGGGGGUGCAUUUUCCUAACACGUUGACAUUUCCUGCUCACACUCAUCCCUUCAGUGUGAGCUUAACCUUUCCUCACACUAAGAAGUCAACACCCAAGGACACCAGGGGGUCUAAAAAUGAACUCUUCUCCAGGACCAGCGCUUGCACUGUUCUUAAUGUUUGGGGGAAUCAAUGGAGAUUCAGUGGUCCAGACAGAAGGUGAAGUGCUCCUCUCUGAAGGGGAUUCCCUGACUGUGAACUGCUCCUAUGAAUCCACAGGGUACCCUUCCCUUUUCUGGUAUGUCCAAUAUCCUGGAAAAGGUCCAGAGCUCCUCCUGAAAGCCACGAAGGGCAAUGACAAGGGAAGAAGCAACAAAGAUUUUGAAGCCAUGUACCGUACAGAAACCACUUCUUUCCACUUGGAGAAAGGCUCAGUUCGAGAAUCAGACUCAGCUGUGUACUUCUGUGCUCUGAGUGACACAGUGACAGGGACUGCAGGGGGAGCUGAGCACAAACUCUAAGCAGCACAACGGGCCUGGCUGCUGAGUGUCAGCUGCUGUGAUCCACUCUGAUUAGGGACCUGGAACUACUCUACUGUU